rnacentral:rRNA from 1 species
GGGCCCGCACAAGCAGCGGAGCAUGUGGUUUAAUUCGAAGCAACGCGAAGAACCUUACCAGGGCUUGACAUCCUCUGACCGCCAUGGAAACAUGGUUUCCCUUCGGGGCAGAGAGACAGGUGGUGCAUGGUUGUCGUCAGCUCGUGUCGUGAGAUGUUGGGUUAAGUCCCGCAACGAGCGCAACCCUUACCCUUAGUUACCAGCAAGUAAAGUUGGGGACUCUAGGGGGGACCGCCGAGGACAACUCGGAGGAAGGUGGGGACGACGUCAAAUCAUCAUGCCCCUUAUGUCCUGGGCUACACACGUGCUACAAUGGCCGCAACAAAGGGAAGCGACAGGGCAACCUGAAGCGAAUCUCAAAAAGCGGUCCCAGUUCGGAUUGUGGGCUGCAACCCGCCCACAUGAAGUCGGAGUUGCUAGUAAUCGCGAAUCAGCAUGUCG